AUGUGUAGCAGGAGGAGGUCCGUCGCCUACUUCGCCCACGGCAGCCACCGGCUGCUCCCAGCAGACGCUGAUGACGACGGCGAGUUCUCCUGCGACGGCUGUCUGGUCGCCGGCGCCGGGCCCCGGUACCUGUGUGGCCACCCCGGCUGUGGCUUCAAGCUCCACGAGGUAUGCGCGCGCAGCUUCCCGAGGACGCUCAAGUCCAUCGUCCACUCCCAGCACAGGCUGAAACGGCGCGAGAGCGCCGCCGCCGCCGCGGACCAUGGCACCGGCGGCGGCAACGUCAGGUGCGAGGUGUGCGGGGAGGACGUGAAGGGCGCGUGCUACGGCUGCAGCGCUGGCGCGUGCGCUUCCGCGACAGUCGUCGUGCACCCGCUCUGCGUCCGCCUGCCGCCCGUGGCGCGGGGUCCGGCCGCGGCGCACCCCUGCGGCCACGACGCGUGGCUCGUCAAGAAGUCGGAUGGCGGCGCGGCGCCGGCGUCUAUGUGCGCGGCGUGUGGGCGCGGCGUGGGGGUACCGGUGCGGGACGUGCACCCGCGGUGCUUCGUGCCGCCGGCGGACCGGUGCCGCGGCGGCGAGGCGGCGGCCGCCUCCAUGGGGAAGCGCUGCUGCCUUGUGUUUGGGCAGGACUUGACGAGCUGCCUCAACAUCAGCUACUAUUACCGUGGUGCUGGGUAG
rnacentral:rRNA from 1 species